GAUUUAGAACUGUAAGUUUCUGUAUAUUAUUAAUGAAUAAGUGUUCUCUUUAUAUAGGGGUUACAAGAGAGAUAAAUAGAAAUACAAUAAUAGGAAAGAUUACAAAUCAUAAACAUAAACGAAUUAGGAAAUAGGCAAGUUGUAGCCACCUCUCUCUCCUCUCCAAGUCUCGUGGCCGUCUCUCUCUCUCUCUAGAGUUGGACCGUCUCUCUCUCUAAGUGUAUGGGCCGAUUAUGGACCGGGCCGGUUAUGGACAUCUACCAAUUGAUUUAUAACACUCCCCCU
rnacentral:lncRNA from 1 species